UUUCCUAGCCUCGGAAAAGCGCUUCAGAACAGGCCACGCCCACCUCUACGUAAGGGAGCGGGAGGAGCCGCUGGUGGGAAGGGAGCGAACCCCCGCUGCAUCAGCUGAUCCGGAGCCUGAAGCGCCUUGCAGCCAUUUUGGUUACUGGUACCCCCACAACUGCUGACCGUUUCUCCAGGAUCCCGAAAAUUAAGGUGUCCAUAGUACCUCUAAGUUUUCCGAUUAAGGGACCUCUGGCCAACGGGUUCAAGCAGAGAAGUGAAACUACCAGAAUGGAGAUAGAGAUAUAUGAAGAGAUAUACGAAGAUAUAAGAUAUAUGAAGAUAUAAGAAGGGAUAUAUGAAGAAAUCUGUCACAGAGGUUUGACCCUACAAAAUUUGGGAACGUGGUUAAACUGUCUCUGUAAGGCUGUUACUUUUGGAUCCGUGGCUGGAGCUUGAAGUCCACAAGGCAGGGAGUCACGAAGGGAAGAUAGAGGAGACUCACGACAAGCUGGAAUGCAGAAGCACAAGCCAUGGUCACGGGGACCGCCUGAAACAAAAGCUACCUUCUGCUGCCCCUGACCCUGACAUCCUGCAGAAGCCGGAGUCCUUUGUUCCAGAAUUAAAAACACAUUUGACUCAAGAGUCAAAACGGAAAGGAGGAUCCGGCAGAAGACCGAGCAACUUGCCCUCUCUGGCUUUCUGGCCUGGCUGCUGCCACAUGCCACGGAGGUGAACCAGCAGACAAGCAACAAUAUAUGUGAGCUACAAAGUGACUACUGUAUCACUCCUGUAAAUCUCACACAAGAAUCUCUUUUGUGACCCACCCCAGCCAGAAACACAUAAAAGGGAAUUCCAGGAAAAGGCUGCUGGGGAUGAGUUUAUCAUUGUGUGGUGCCAGCCAGAAAAACACUAUUUUUUCACUGGAAUUCAUAUGAGGUCAUUUACCCUUAAAA